UGUCACAUUUCAUUUCAGAACCAUGACCAAAAGUCCAAGGGCAGCAGGAUGUUGCCUGCCAGACCUGACACCCAGGAUAUGCAAUGUUCCAAGUGAUAUUUAGAAAACUUUUGUGGACAGAACUCUCUGGGGGUGGCAACCAACCCACAGCCCAGUGAUGAGGAGAGUGAAGAUAGUGAAGAGGAGUACAGGAAUACAGUGAAAACAUCUUCAAUUUUUUAAAUUUAUUUUUAUUUUUUUAUAUUUUGUAUAUAUUCGAUAUUGUUAAAUUAUAAAUAGCUAUUGUUAAAGCUUCAGCAUUUUCAUUAAAGUGUUUUAUUUUUGCUCUA